rnacentral:tRNA from 1 species
GAGUGCCGUGCGGCGGGUCUGGCCGUCGGCUGCUUCCGUCCGCCGUCGGUGCCGGACGGCAUCUCACGACUGCGGCUCACGGCCCGCGCGGAUCUCACC